GAAUCAUUGUCAAUGAGCGCAAGCUUGAACGUGCGACGCCGCGUGUGGGAUGAAGGCCUUCGGGUUGUAAACCACUGUCCGGAGCUAACAAUAAGCGUAUAACUCACGUGAUGAGUUAAACUCCAGAGGAAGUGACCGCUAACUCCGUGACAGCAGCUGCGGUAAUACGUAGGUCGCAAACGUUGUUCGGAAUUACUGGGCUUAAAGGGCGCGUAGGCGGCUUCGUAAGUCAAGGUUGAAAUCCGGCGGCUCACCCGUCGAAGUGGCCUUGAUACUGCGGAGCUAGAAUAAUGGAGGGGUGCGCGGAACUUGUGGUGGAGCGGUGAAAUGCUCAGAUAUCACAGGGAACACCGGAGGCGAAGGCGGCGCACUGGCCAUGUAUUGACGCUGAGGCGCGAAAGCCAGGGGAGCGAACGGG
rnacentral:rRNA from 1 species